rnacentral:rRNA from 1 species
GAUGAACGCUGGCGGCGUGCCUAAUACAUGCAAGUCGAGCGAACAGAUAAGGAGCUUGCUCCUUUGACGUUAGCGGCGGACGGGUGAGUAACACGUGGGUAACCUACCUAUCAGACUGGAAUAACUCCGGGAAACCGGGGCUAAUGCCGGAUAACAUUUAGAACCGCAUGGUUCUAAAGUGAAAGAUGGUUUUGCUAUCACUUAUAGAUGGACCCGCGCCGUAUUAUCUAGUUGGUAAGGUAACGGCUUACCAAGGCAACGAUACGUAGCCGACCUGAGAGAGUGAUCGGCCACACUGGAACUGAGACAGGGACAAGACUCCUACGGGAGGCAGCAGUAGGGAAUGUUCCGCAAUGGGCGAAAGCGUGACGGAGCAACGCCGCGUGAGUGAUGAAGGUCUUCGGAUCGUAAAACUCUGUUAUUAGGGAAGAACAAAUGUGUAAGUAAAUGUGCACGUCUUGACGGUACCUAAUCAGAAAGCCACGGCUAACUACGUG